rnacentral:rRNA from 1 species
CCCUUAGAUGUUCUGGGCAGCACGCGCGCUACAAUGGUCUUCGCAAACGGAUGCAUUCUCGAAGGAGAAUGCCAAUCUUGGAAUCUAUGCCUUGGUCGGGACAGUUGCUUGCAAUUUUUCGACUCGAACCAGGAAUUCCUUGUAAUCGUGAUUCAUCACAUCACGAUGAAUACGUCCCUGCCCUUUGUACACACCGCCCGUCGCUCCUACCCAUCGAAGAGUUAGGUGAAUUGUUUUGAUCGAUAAGAUUUGACUAUGGUCAACUCUCGUUGUGAAAUUCUGUGAAUCUGACUGUUUAGAGGAAGGAAAAGUCGUAACA